CCUACGGGUGGCUGCAGUAGGGAAUCUUCGACAAUGGGCGAAACCCUGACCGAGCAACGCCGCGUGAAGGAAGAAGGAAUUCGUUCUGUAAACUUCUGUUAUUAGGGAAGAAAGACGGAGAGAGGAAAUGUCCUCGUAGUGACGGUACUUUACGAGAAAGCCACGGCUAACUACGUGCCAGCAGCCGCGGUAAUACGUAGGUGGCAAGCGUUAUCCGGAAUUAUUGGGCGUAAAGGGGAAGCAGGCGGCAGCAAAGGUCGGUGGGAAAAGACUGAAGCUUAACUUCAGUAAGCCAUAGAAACCGGGCGGCGUGAGUGCAGGAGAGGAGCGUGGAAUUCCAUGUGUAGCGGUGAAAUGCGUAGAUAUAUGGAGGAACACCAGUGGCGAAGGCGGCGCUCUGGCCUGCAACUGACGCUGAGGCUCGAAAGCGUGGGGAGCAAAUAGGAUUAGAUACCCCUGUAGUC
rnacentral:rRNA from 1 species